UUUUCUUUUCUUUUCUUUUCUUUUACAAAAAAAAAAUAAGGCAGCUUUUUGCCCCACAGAAAUUAGUCUGAAGAGAUAAUGGAAGAUAUAGGAGGGAGAAGGAUUAAACAGGAGACUUCUCAUCACUUGUUUAUUUUUUUUCAGUGUGGCAUAUUUAAUAGUAGUUGAACUUACAUUAACCAACUCUAUUGAUUCCUUUCUCCCCUUCGUUAACAGUUUACUUGGUAAUUUUUUUGUAUUCCAGUUGUUCCCGUAGUGUGCCUGCCCUGUUCUUAAAUGGCUGGUGAUCCAAGGACACAAGAAAAGUAAAGGCAUGCAGGUUGGGGGGUUUUGACAGCUUGGAGGGAGCCACAUUGCCUAAAUCGCAGCUCCUGACAAGUGGAAGUGCCACAUUCAGCAACAACAAAACGACACAGGCCUUCAGAGAGAGGGACUUCAAGUGCUGUCGUUACCUGCUGCAGAGCAGGUUCCAGGUUCCUCUGGAAACACUGAGGACGUUUCUCACGGAGGUGGUGUGGCCUGCUUUGAUUUUUAUGCAGCACCAGCAAAAGGUACCUGACUGAUAGACUUGGAGAAAGGAGCUCUCUUGAUCUAGAUAAAAAAGCCUGCAGGGCUCCU
rnacentral:lncRNA from 1 species